AGAUGUUGCAUGGCUGUCGUCAGCUCGUGCCGUGAGGUGUUGGGUUAAGUCCCGCAACGAGCGCAACCCUUGUCGUUAGUUAGAAUGUCUAGCGAGACUGCCCCUAAACAGGGGAGGAAGGUGGGGAUGACGCCAAGUCAUCAUGGCUCUUACGUCCUGGGCUACACACACGCUACAAUGGUCGGCACAGAGGGUUGCGAAGGCGCGAGCCGGAGCUAAUCCCACAAAGCCGUCCCCAGUUGGAAUUGCAGGCUGAAACCCGCCUGCAUGAACGCGGAGUUGCUAGUAACCGCAGGUCAGCACACUGCGGUGAAUACGUUCUCGGGUCUUGUACACACCGCCCGUCACA
rnacentral:rRNA from 1 species